CUCUUAUCAAGAGUGGUGGAGGGAAUAGGCCCUGCGAAGCCCGGCAACCUGUAGCAAUUGCUAUUGAAAGGUGCUAAAUCCUACAGACUUCAUCGUCUGGAAGAUAAGAG
rnacentral:ncRNA from 2 species